rnacentral:misc_RNA from 1 species
GUGAGUCAUCGAAUCUUUGAACGCACAUUGCGCCCUCCGGUAUUCCGGGGGGCAUGCCUGUCCGAGCGUCAUUGCAACCCUCAAGCGCGGCUUGUGUGAUGGGUCCCUUUGUCUCCCGCUUCCGGCGAGACAGGCCCGAAAUGCAGUGGCGGCGUCCCGAAUUCGGGUGCCUGAGUGAAUGGGAUUUCUUACAUCCGCUCAAGAGGCCCCGGUCGGCGCCCGCCGGUCAAUCUAUUCUCCACGGUUGACCUCGGAUCAGGUAGGAGUACCCGCUGAACUUAAGCAUAUCAAUAAGCGGAGGA